GAUGAACGCUAGCGGCAGGCCUAAUACAUGCAAGUCGGACGGGAUCCGUCGGAGAGCUUGCUCGAAGACGGUGAGAGUGGCGCACGGGUGCGUAACGCGUGAGCAACCUACCUCUAUCAGGGGGAUAGCCUCUCGAAAGAGAGAUUAACACCGCAUAAUAUAUGUGACCGGCAUCGGUUGGAUAUUAAAUAUUUAUAGGAUAGAGAUGGGCUCGCGUGACAUUAGCUAGUUGGUAGGGUAACGGCUUACCAAGGCGACGAUGUCUAGGGGCUCUGAGAGGAGAAUCCCCCACACUGGUACUGAGACACGGACCAGACUCCUACGGGAGGCAGCAGUAAGGAAUAUUGGUCAAUGGGCGGAAGCCUGAACCAGCCAUGCCGCGUGCAGGAUGACUGCCCUAUGGGUUGUAAACUGCUUUUGUCCAGGAAUAAACCUUUCUACGUGUAGGGAGCUGAAUGUACUGGAAGAAUAAGGAUCGGCUAACUCCGUGCCAGCAGCCGCCGUAAAAC
rnacentral:rRNA from 1 species